UGACCUGAACCAAAAUGAAGAGUGGGGACACUCAACCAGCUGAACUACCCUGGCACCCCUGUAGCUUGUGGCUUGUAAGACAGCUUUUCCGAGAACUGAUGACUCUUAAACAGGUACUUGCAAAGGCAGACCUGCUCAGCCACUGAGAAAACUGGGAUGCUGUACAAGAAACACGUUCAUUCGCGUAUCUACUGGCUUAAUACAUAUUUAUUGGCAAUCUAAUAUGCACCAAACACAGUGAUAGGCCCUAGGUGAACAAAGUCUCCAUGGUAACUAACAUCAUGAAGCCCAUAAUACAAUAAGAC
rnacentral:lncRNA from 1 species